UACGAAGGGAGCUAGCGUUGUUCGGAAUUACUGGGCGUAAAGCGUGCGCAGGCGGUGAUGUAAGACAGUUGUGAAAUCCCCGGGCUCAACCUGGGAAUUGCAUCUGUGACUGCAUCGCUAGAGUACGGUAGAGGGGGAUGGAAUUCCGCGUGUAGCAGUGAAAUGCGUAGAUAUGCGGAGGAACACCGAUGGCGAAGGCAAUCCCCUGGACCUGUACUGACGCUCAUGCACCGAAAGCGUGGGGAGCAAACAGGG
rnacentral:rRNA from 1 species